CGGGGGCCCCACAUCUCUUUGAGAGAAAAUACCGGAUAGGUCAAGAGUACUGGACCCGUUUUUUUAGAUUGAAAGCUCUGGCGCCUUUGGAUGGGUCUGCGGCUGAUUAGGUUGACUUCGGUGAAAAGUACCGGCGUGCCGAUUAUCAGUACGGGUUGUGGGAGCAAGAGCCCGGAGAUGGAUUCUGAGACACGAAUCCAGGCCCUACGGGGCGCAGCAGGCGCGAAAACUCCACAAUGCAGGCAACUGCGAUAGGGGAACAUCGAGUGGCAUCUACAUUAGGUGUCUGUCCAGCUGUCUAAAAAACGGCUGUUAGCAAGGGCCGGGCAAGACCGGUGCCAGCCGCCGCGGUAAUACCGGCGGCUCGAGUGGUGGCCGAUAUUAUUGAGUCUAAAGGGUCCGUAGCCGGCUUUGCAAGUCUUGUGGGAAAUCCAGCGGCUUAACCGUUGGGCGUCUGCGGGAUACUACAUUGUUUGGGACUGGGAGAGGUAGGAGGUACUCAGGGGGUAGGAGUGU
rnacentral:rRNA from 1 species